rnacentral:rRNA from 1 species
UGGACUUUAUUUGCGCAGCAUAGGUGGGAGGCAUUGAGUUUAUUCUUGCGGGAAUUUAGGAGCCAUCAGUGAGAUACCACUCUGGUAAUGUUAGAUUUCUAACUUUGUAUCAUGAUCUGGUCAAAGAACAGUUUCAGGCGGGCAGUUUGACUGGGGCGGUCGCCUCCCAAAUGGUAACGGAGGCGUACAAAGGUUUCCUCUGAACGUGUAGAAAUCGUAUCUAGAGUGUAAAGGCAUAAGGAAGCUUGACUGUGAGACCUACAAGUCGAGCAGGGACGAAAGUCGGUCUUAGUGAUCUGACGGUGCUGAGUGGAAAGGCCGUCACUCAACGGAUAAAAGUUACUCUAGGGAUAACAGGCUGAA